UACGUAGGGUGCGAGCGUUGUCCGGAAUUAUUGGGCGUAAAGAGCUUGUAGGCGGUUUGUCGCGUCUGCUGUGAAAAUCCGGGGCUCAACCCCGGACUUGCAGUGGGUACGGGCAGACUAGAGUGUGGUAGGGGAGACUGGAAUUCCUGGUGUAGCGGUGAAAUGCGCAGAUAUCAGGAGGAACACCGAUGGCGAAGGCAGGUCUCUGGGCCACUACUGACGCUGAGAAGCGAAAGCUAGGGGAGCAAACAGG
rnacentral:rRNA from 1 species